GCCAACGUCCAUACCACGUUGAACACACCGGUUCUCGUCUGAUCACCGAAGUUAAGCAACGUCGGGCGCGGUCAGUACUUGGAUGGGUGACCGCCUGGGAACACCGCGUGCCGUUGGCUUUU
rnacentral:rRNA from 1 species